rnacentral:rRNA from 1 species
GAUGUAACGGGGCUAAACCAUGCACCGAAGCUGCGGCAGCGAACGUAUCACUUAAAGCGAUUCAGCGGGUUCGAUUGACGGAGCGAAGCGACGUCAAAGCGUAUACAAAGUCGAGUCGGUUUAAGGAUACGUUCGUUGGGUAGGGGAGCGUUCUGUAAGCCUGCGAAGGUGGCCUGUGAGGGUUGCUGGAGGUAUCAGAAGUGCGNAGACCAAGGGUUCCUGUCCAACGUUAAUCGGGGCAGGGUGAGUCGACCCCUAAGGCGAGGCCGAAAGGCGUAGUCGAUGGGAAACNNNNNNNNNNNNNNNCUGGUUUUCCAGGCAAAUCCGGAAAAUCAAGGCUGAGGCGUGACGACGAGGCACUACGGUGCUGAAGCAACAAAUGCCCUGCUUCCAGGAAAAGCCUCUAAGCAUCAGGUAACACGAAAUCGUACCCCAAACCGACACAGGUGGUCAGGUAGAGAAUACCAAGGCGCUUGAGAGAACUCGGGUGAAGNGAACUAGGCAAAAUGGUGCCGUAACUUCGGGAGAAGGCACGCUGACACGUAGGUGAAGUGAUUUACUCAUGGAGCUGAAGUCAGUCGAAGAUACCAGCUGGCUGCAACUGUUUAUUAAAAACACAGCACUGUGCAAACACGAAAGUGGACGUAUACGGUGUGACGCCUGCCCGGUGCCGGAAGGUUAAUUGAUGGGGUCAGCGCAAGCGAAGCUCCUGAUCGAAGCCCCGGUAAACGGCGGCCGUAACUAUAACGGUCCUAAGGUAGCGAAAUUCCUUGUCGGGUAAGUUCCGACCUGCACGAAUGGCGUAAUGAUGGCCAGGCUGUCUCCACCCGAGACUCAGUGAAAUUGAACUCGCUGUGAAGAUGCAGUGUACCCGCGGCAAGACGGAAAGACCCCGUGAACCUUUACUAUAGCUUGACACUGAACAUUGAGCCUUGAUGUGUAGGAUAGGUGGGAGGCUUUGAAGCGUGGACGCCAGUCUGCGUGGAGCCGACCUUGAAAUACCACCCUUUAAUGUUUGAUGUUCUAACGUGGACCCGUAAUCCGGGUUGCGGACAGUGUCUGGUGGGUAGUUUGACUGGGGCGGUCUCCUCCUAAAGAGUAACGGAGGAGCACGAAGGUUGGCUAAUCCUGGUCGGACAUCAGGAGGUUAGUGCAAUGGCAUAAGCCAGCUUGACUGCGAGCGUGACGGCGCGAGCAGGUGCGAAAGCAGGUCAUAGUGAUCCGGUGGUUCUGAAUGGAAGGGCCAUCGCUCAACGGAUAAAAGGUACUCCGGGGAUAACAGGCUGAUACCGCCCAAGAGUUCAUAUCGACGGCGGUGUUUGGCACCUCGAUGUCGGCUCAUCACAUCCUGGGGCUGAAGUAGGUCCCAAGGGUAUGGCUGU